rnacentral:rRNA from 1 species
AUUGAACGCUGGCGGCAGGCCUAACACAUGCAAGUCGAACGAGUGGCGGACGGGUGAGUAAUGUCUGGGAAACUGCCCGAUGGAGGGGGGUAACUACUGGAAACGGUAGCUAAUACCGCAUACCAUCGGAUGUGCCCAGAUGGGAUUAGCUAUUAGGUGGGGUAACGGCUCACCUAGGCGACGAUCCCUAGCUGGUCUGAGGGGAUGACAACACACACGGGAACUGAGAAACGGUCAAGACGCCUACGGGAGGCAGCAGUGGGGAAUAUUGAACAAUGGGCGAAAGCCUAAUGCAGCAAUGCCGCGUGUAUGAAGAAGGCCUUCGGGUUGUAAAGUACUUUCAGCGAGGAGGCGUUACUCGCAGAAGAAGCACCGGCUAACUCCGUGCCAGCAGCCGCGGUAAUAC